rnacentral:rRNA from 1 species
GCUUGCAAACUGAAGAUGGCGACCGGCGCACGGGUGAGUAACACGUAUCCAACCUGCCGAUAACUCCGGGAUAGCCUUUCGAAAGAAAGAUUAAUACCGGAUGGCAUACGAAUAUCGCAUGAUAUUUUUAUUAAAGAAUUUCGGUUAUCGAUGGGGAUGCGUUCCAUUAGUUUGUUGGCGGGGUAACGGCCCACCAAGACUACGAUGGAUAGGGGUUCUGAGAGGAAGGUCCCCCACAUUGGAACUGAGACACGGUCCAAACUCCUACGGGAGGCAGCAGUGAGGAAUAUUGGUCAAUGGGCGAGAGCCUGAACCAGCCAAGUAGCGUGAAGGAUGAAGGCUCUAUGGGUCGUAAACUUCUUUUAUAUGGGAAUAAAGUUUUCCACGUGUGGAAUUUUGUAUGUACCAUAUGAAUAAGGAUCGGCUAACUCCGUGCCAGCAGCCGCGGUAAUACGGAGGAUCCGAGCGUUAUCCGGAUUUAUUGGGUUUAAAGGGAGCGUAGGUGGAUUGUUAAGUCAGUUGUGAAAGUUUGCGGCUCAACCGUAAAAUUGCAGUUGAAACUGGCAGUCUUGAGUACAGUAGAGGUGGGCGGAAUUCGUGGUGUAGCGGUGAAAUGCUUAGAUAUCACGAAGAACUCCGAUUGCGAAGGCAGCUCACUAGACUGUUACU